AGUAAAUUUUUCCGCACAAUAACGCGGAUCUCUAUGGGGGCGAACUAGGUUCGACAUGCGUGGUAAAGGUGCGGUUUUUGCUCGGCAUGAUACCACCGUUAUCGGGUCAAAAACACAACUGCCAACGAUAAUCAAUUGGCACUCGCUGCUUAGAAUUUCUAGGUAAGCGCGGUCCGGGGGGCGCCGGGCAACAGAAGCCCCUCACU
rnacentral:tmRNA from 1 species